GCUUACACAUGCAGUCGAACGGAAAGGCCCUGCUUGCAGGGUACUCGAGUGGCGAACGGGUGAGUAACACGUGGGUGAUCUGCCCUGCACUUCGGGAUAAGCUUGGGAAACUGGGUCUAAUACCGGAUAGGAGCCAUCUUUAGUGUGGUGGUUGGAAAGUUUUUUCGGUGUAGGAUGAGCUCGCGGCCUAUCAGCUUGUUGGUGGGGUAAUGGCCUACCAAGGCGGCGACGGGUAGCCGGCCUGAGAGGGUGUACGGCCACAUUGGGACUGAGAUACGGCCCAGACUCCUACGGGAGGCAGCAGUGGGGAAUAUUGCACAAUGGGCGCAAGCCUGAUGCAGCGACGCCGCGUGGGGGAUGAAGGCCUUCGGGUUGUAAACUCCUUUCGCUAGGGACGAAGCUUUGUGUGACGGUACCUAGAUAAGAAGCACCGGCUAACUACGUGCCAGCAGCCGCGGUAAUACGUAGGGUGCGAGCGUUGUCCGGAAUUACUGGGCGUAAAGGGCUCGUAGGUGGUUUGUCGCGUCGUCUGUGAAAUUCUGGGGCUUAACUCCGGGCGUGCAGGCGAUACGGGCAUAACUUGAGUGCUGUAGGGGUAACUGGAAUUCCUGGUGUAGCGGUGAAAUGCGCAGAUAUCAGGAGGAACACCGAUGGCGAAGGCAGGUUACUGGGCAGUUACUGACGCUGAGGAGCGAAAGCAUGGGUAGCGAACAGGAUUAGAUACCCUGGUAGUCCAUGCCGUAAACGGUGGGCGCUAGGUGUGAGGGUCUUUCUACGACUUUCGUGCCGUAGCUAACGCAUUAAGCGCCCCGCCUGGGGAGUACGGCCGCAAGGCUAAAACUCAAAGGAAUUGACGGGGGCCCGCACAAGCGGCGGAGCAUGUGGAUUAAUUCGAUGCAACGCGAAGAACCUUACCUGGGCUUGACAUACAUCAGAUCGCUGCAGAGAUGUAGUUUCCCUUUGUGGUUGGUUGUACAGGUGGUGCAUGGUUGUCG
rnacentral:rRNA from 1 species